GUCGAGCGAACUGAUUAGAAGCUUGCUUCUAUGACGUUAGCGGCGGACGGGUGAGUAACACGUGGGCAACCUGCCUGUAAGACUGGGAUAACUUCGGGAAACCGAAGCUAAUACCGGAUAGGAUCUUCUCCUUCAUGGGAGAUGAUUGAAAGAUGGUUUCGGCUAUCACUUACAGAUGGGCCCGCGGUGCAUUAGCUAGUUGGUGAGGUAACGGCUCACCAAGGCCACGAUGCAUAGCCGACCUGAGAGGGUGAUCGGCCACACUGGGACUGAGACACGGCCCAGACUCCUACGGGAGGCAGCAGUAGGGAAUCUUCCGCAAUGGACGAAAGUCUGACGGAGCAACGCCGCGUGAGUGAUGAAGGCUUUCGGGUCGUAAAACUCUGUUGUUAGGGAAGAACAAGUACGAGAGUAACUGCUCGUACCUUGACGGUACCUAACCAGAAAGCCACGGCUAACUACGUGCCAGCAGCCGCGGUAAUACGUAGGUGGCAAGCGUUAUCCGGAAUUAUUGGGCGUAAAGCGCGCGCAGGCGGUUUCUUAAGUCUGAUGUGAAAGCCCACGGCUCAACCGUGGAGGGUCAUUGGAAACUGGGGAACUUGAGUGCAGAAGAGAAAAGCGGAAUUCCACGUGUAGCGGUGAAAUGCGUAGAGAUGUGGAGGAACACCAGUGGCGAAGGCGGCUUUUUGGUCUGUAACUGACGCUGAGGCGCGAA
rnacentral:rRNA from 1 species